CUGUCAUGCCAUAACAAGGAUCCGCUGCUAUGCUGCUCUGCUCUGGAGGCAGCUGACUAUGGACUGAAACCUCUAGAAACUAAAAAUGCUUCCUGAUGCAGUGUUAAGGACUGAAUGGAGGGAGGUGAGCCAGGCAGUAAGAAGAACAGAAAGAUGUUGGCAGUGUGCCAGCCAUGAGAUGUGUAGCCACCAGCCUGCAGCCAAAAAGUAAUUUGGACCCUGAGAUGUGAUGGAUAGAUUCACUGUCCCUGACCCCGGUUAUACAAAGAAUGGCUUUGUCAGGGUCAACUUUGUGGUCUGUACAUGACUGAAAUCUUUCACCAGAAUGAACUGCAACUCACAUUGGCUACUCCAAGUCUGGCCACCAUGGGUGGAUUUCAACGCUGUUCUCACUAAUUGGAAUAGGAGAACAAAUCUGUCUGAAAUGAUCCAUACCUACCUCUGGAUGUCUAGGACCACACAUGCUAUUCCAUGAUAGCUGACAGAGCACUGGAAAGUCGAGGAGGACUUAUCCAAUGGGAAGAUAAUUGGCAGCUGAACAAUGAUGAACUUCUAAGCUAUUGGCCUUCUGGAUGAUCUACAGCCAGUGUAGUACUGUUGAGAAUAUAGGUAGUUCUUGUACAAAGAAAAGAUCAAACAAGAUGGCGUCUGCAAUCUGGGCAGUACAGAUGCUCCUUUAUGGUGAUUUGAUUUAUGACUUUAAUAGGACAUAGCCCCAGUCCUAAGUGAAGGAGCUUCUGUACAAGAUCUAUCUUUGAACUGAUAGUGGGUGAGGUAAGAAUCCUCACUCUCAGAGACCAACCAUGAUUGUUUUAGUGCAACCUACAUGGGGUAAGGUAUGCAUGUGUCAGUAAAUCUUUCAUAUACAAACAGGCAUCAUGUAUUCUCUCUCCCCAAAGUUCUAGGAUUCAUGUAUGUAGCUCGGCACUUUAAAAAUAAUAGAUCUGAAGAAUAUUCAAUAUCAAAAUACAAAGACUUUUGCGGUUUUAGAGCUGUAUAUUAUUUUACAUAUAGGCAUUAAAUAAGGAACCCAGUGGUACAUGUAUAGAUUUUGGCUAAUUAGAUUAUAACAAAUUAUUAUAAAAUGCUCUGAUAUGUAUGCUCUGAUACAUAUGUAUGCUAUGUAAAAAUUUUGUAAAAUUUGUAGAGGUACACAUUUCUGAUCAAAUCUCUCCAUAUAAAGGUAUAUUAGAUGUUUAUUCUCUGGUAAUCUAAAGGGUAUUUAGGAUAUUUCUAUACUGAGUCAUUCACAUUUA